GAUGAACGCUGGCGGCGUGCCUAAUACAUGCAAGUCGAGCGAACGGACGAGAAGCUUGCUUCUCUGAUGUUAGCGGCGGACGGGUGAGUAACACGUGGAUAACCUACCUAUAAGACUGGGAUAACUUCGGGAAACCGGAGCUAAUACCGGAUAAUAUUUUGAACCGCAUGGUUCAAAAGUGAAAGACGGUCUUGCUGUCACUUAUAGAUGGAUCCGCGCUGCAUUAGCUAGUUGGUAAGGUAACGGCUUACCAAGGCAACGAUGCAUAGCCGACCUGAGAGGGUGAUCGGCCACACUGGAACUGGGACACGGUCCAGACUCCUACGGGAGGCAGCAGUAGGGAAUCUGCCGCAAUGGGCGAAAGCCUGACGGAGCAACGCCGCGUGAGUGAUGAAGGUCUUCGGAUCGUAAAACUCUGUUAUUAGGGAAGAACAUAUGUGUAAGUAACUGUGCACAUCUUGACGGUACCUAAUCAGAAAGCCACGGCUAACUACGUG
rnacentral:rRNA from 1 species